UGGAGGCUCCCGCUGUCUCCGUGGGAGGGCUGCACCCGGGUAGAAGCUAGUACGCCCUCCUCCUGUCCUUGUCUCGGUGGGUCAUCCUGAAGCCACAGGGAAUGACAGUGGCUGGCUGGGAUCCCAGUGGUUCAAAGGUGAUGCAGAUGUGGCUUUAAGAAGACAGUGAUGUGCCAGGUAUGGACACCAGCCCUGCUCCAUGCCCUCGACACCAGCUAAUCAGGAAUCAACCCAAAUUAACUUGAGCAUAUUUUUAACCCUGUGUGACUUUUAAUUUAAAAAAAAAACAGAAUCCGUGAA